GAUGAAGAACGCAGCGAAAUGCGAUAAGUAAUGUGAAUUGCAGAAUUCAGUGAAUCAUCGAAUCUUUGAACGCACAUUGCGCCCGCCAGUAUUCUGGCGGGCAUGCCUGUUCGAGCGUCAUUUCAACCAUCAAGCCCCCGGCUUGUGUUGGGGACCUGCGGCUGCCGCAGGCCCUGAAAACCAGUGGCGGGCUCGCUAGUCACUCCGAGCGUAGUAGUUACAUCUCGCUCAGGGCGUGCUGCGGGUUCCGGCCGUUAAAAGCCUUAUUUACCCAAGGUUGACCUCGGAUCAGGUAGGAAGACCCGCUAAACUUAAGCAUAUCAAUAAGCGGAGGA
rnacentral:misc_RNA from 1 species